AUACAGAGGGUGCAAGCGUUAAUCGGAAUCACUGGGCGUAAAGGGCGCGCAGGCGGUUUGGUAAGUCAGAUGUGAAAGCCCACGGCUCAACCGUGGAAGUGCAUUUGAAACUGUCAGACUUGAGUACUAGAGGGGAAAGUGGAAUUCCCGGUGUAGAGGUGAAAUUCGUAGAUAUCGGGAGGAAUACCGGUGGCGAAGGCGACUUUCUGGCUAGAUACUGACGCUGAGGCGCGAAAGCGUGGGGAGCAAACAGGAUUAGAAACCCCAGUAGUCC
rnacentral:rRNA from 1 species